UACGAAGGGGACUAGCGUUGUUCGGAAUCACUGGGCGUAAAGCGCACGUAGGCGGAUUUGUAAGUCAGGGGUGAAAUCCCGGGGCUCAACCUCGGAACUGCCUUUGAUACUGCGAAUCUUGAGUCCGAUAGAGGUGGGUGGAAUUCCUAGUGUAGAGGUGAAAUUCGUAGAUAUUAGGAAGAACACCAGUGGCGAAGGCGGCCCACUGGAUCGGUACUGACGCUGAGGUGCGAAAGCGUGGGGAUCAAACAGG
rnacentral:rRNA from 1 species